rnacentral:lncRNA from 1 species
AGGUUGCCAUGGUGACAUAGAUGGAGGACCUUACAUACAGAACAUUGACGGAGGUGUUUUCAGAUUUGGAGCAUAGAGGGUUGUGUCUCAGUGGUAACAAUCAAAACCAUACAAAGAUGCAUACAGAUUGUAGAUGGACGUGUUCUCAGAUUUGGAGCAUAUCUGAUGCGUUGUGCUUUAAAAAGAUAGUGUUUUGAGGCAAAGAUCAAGAACAUACAUACAUAUCAUGGACGAUGACGGACGAAGGUGUUGUUAGAUCUGGACCAUAAAUGAUUUUACACAUGUCUUUGUGUAAAUAUACACAGAACAGGGUUACCAUGGAAAUAUACC